UUAAGUCAAAAAUUUAUAUUUAUUAAUAUUGUUGAAUAUUAUAAGGACUAAAAUAGCACGAUACAUUAUUAAAAAAAGAAAAAGAAAAAGAGGUCUACGAGCGCCAGAUAUUGAAUGAUCAAUACUCGUUGCCGAAGUCACAAAAUCCGACAAUUUUCUUGGCUUGGUUCCUCUGAAUUUUGUUAUCCUCAAAGUUGAAAGUAGAAUUAAUAUUGGAGCCGCCAUCCUGUUUGUCAGUACCGCUGCAGCCCUCGGUCUUCUUGUUGCCAAAGUUGAAUACUCCGACGGUGUCGCCUUUGUUGUCGCAUAGAUCAUUUCCGCGAAAGUUGAAAGCCUUGGUUCCCUUUCCUUUGGGACUAUUAGAAUUAAUGUUAGGAGCAGGCUCUCGAUAAUUUCUUUUGGUUACGGAAGUCUCGUCUGGAUUAGUUUUGGGAAAGCAGAAACAAUUUGUCAUUAUGUCUCAAUCGUUUGGAGGUUAAUCGGAGGCUCAAAAUGAAGUACAGAGGUUGAUAAUUUGCCUUGUCCGCUAG
rnacentral:lncRNA from 1 species